rnacentral:tRNA from 1 species
CGCUAAUUGUCUAGUUGUUCAGGCAUCUGAUUAGAAACCUGAAGAUUGUGAGUUCUAGUCCCACAUUAGCCA